GGCGUAAAGCGCAUGCAGGUGGUCUGUCAAGUUGGAUGUGAAAUCCCCGGGCUCAACCUGGGAACUGCAUCCGAAACUGGCAGGCUAGAGUCCUGUAGAGGGGGGUAGAAUUUC
rnacentral:rRNA from 1 species